rfam:Salmo salar isolate Sally breed double haploid chromosome ssa21, whole genome shotgun sequence.
UGCACUCACUACUGUAAGUCGCUCUGGAUAAGAGCAAUUGCUAAAUGAUGAAAA